rnacentral:rRNA from 1 species
AACGAACGCUGGCGGCAUGCCUAACACAUGCAAGUCGAACGAGACCUUCGGGUCUAUUGGCGUACGGGUGCGUAACGCGUGGGAACCUUCCCUUAGGUUCGGAAUAACUCCCCGAAAGGGGUGCUAAUACCGGAUAAUGUCUUCGGACCAAAGAUUUAUCGCCUUUGGAUGGGCCCGCGUUGGAUUAGCUAGUUGGUAGGGUAAAAGCCUACCAAGGCGACGAUCCAUAGCUGGUCUGAGAGGAUGAUCAGCCACACUGGGACUGAGACACGGCCCAGACUCCUACGGGAGGCAGCAGUGGGGAAUAGUGGAAAAUGGGCGAAAGCCUGAUCCAGCAAUGACGCGUGAGUGAUGAAGGCCUUAGGGUUGUAAAGCUCUUUUAACCGGGAUGAUAAUGACAGUACCGGGAGAAUAAGCUCCGGCUAACUACGUG